UCCCUGUGUUUACCUCCAAGAAACCCCAGACAGACCAUGCUUUGUCAUUCGUUUGUUGCCAGAUUGUCCUUCUACCUUCAUGGACGCAGCCUCUGUAGUGUAUUUCGAGUUCAGGACUUUUUACCUGCACACUGAUUUUUCCACCUUUCCCUUUUGGAUUAGUUUUUGUGGUCAUUGCCUCCAGUAUCUCCAUAGCUGUGGGAAAGAGACAGGGAAGUCUCCGUCUGUCACCUCUGGCAUUCAGGAGAGAGGAGGAGAGGUUUUUGGAUAAGUUUACAUUUAGGUCCAAACACUGCAGGAUUGACUGACUGAAGUCUGACCUUGUGAGUUUUGAGAGACGGCCACAGCAGAGACAAAAAGACAGAGAGGCAGAGGCAGGCUGUCCAUCCAGCUCAGAGAGAUACCAGCUCGGAUACAAACAUCAACCUCUGAUUUCCAGAUAAUCGCUUAAUUCUCUCCUUUGUGAUGAGUGGACACUGAAUCUAUCAGGAGUGAUUGGGACAGUUGUGUCUUUGGAGAUGGAGUGUGUCUUCCACUAAUCAGAAGGUCAGCGGUUCGAUGCCCAGCUCCUCCAGUCCGCCUGGUGAAGAGACGUUGGGCAAUAGACACAUGCGCUCAUACACGCGAUGUCUGACCAUACACAGCUGCAUAUGCACGGAGCCCCAUGCAUAUGCAGGAACAAUGUCAGGUCACACACACGUUACGUUUUCAGCAUCAAUGGACACACACCCAUCCGAGCUUCUGACAGAGUACCCCGGGGAUGGAUAGCAUCACAUUUAAACACUUAACAGAGCAACUGGCUGUCUCAAUGUAUCUCCGACUCUUCCUCUCAAUCCUACAGCUGCUGAGAGAGAUAGACAGAUACUGCAGAUGUUCCUGCUAAUGGAUCAAAAGACAAAUGGGGCUUUAAAAGGGAGAGCCGCCCCACAGGAGUGGUGUGUCCCGAACAGAUAAUUAUGUGACAUAUUCUUUGUCUGGUGAUUUUUAUCAUAUGCCAUUUUUUUAUUAGCUCAGAUGAAAAUGUAUUCGGCGACCGCAGCAGUGUAAUGUAUCAUAUUGUGUGCUACAUAUAUUAUUAUGUUCUCUCUGCGCAAUGAUUUUGUCACAAUGGCUGUCAUCAUAACAGUGACGAAUAGCAUUGAUUUUUACAUUGUUACAUGUGUAUGCUCAUUAUUUCAUUAUGAGCAUUGUG